AUAAGCUUCAGUGUCUCUCCUCCUCACACUCCAACCCUGCUCACCUCUCAGCUGGACAGUAAGGGACGUUUACACCACACACUGACAACAUGCUGGGGACCCUCUGCACUCUCAUCACUGCUCUAACAUAUGUUGAUGCAGCAAUAGUGGUGACUCAGACGCCUGCUGUCCACACAGUUUCUACAGGACAAGAGGUUGUUCUCAACUGCAAUGUUGAGAGAUAUGAUAGUUAUUAUGUCAGUUGGUAUAAACAGGUUCCUGGUGAAGCUCCUCAGUAUGUUCUGAGGUUUCACCGUUCUCAAAGUUCACCCAGCUUUGGAUCAAGAUUCUCCUCAGAUCGCUUCAACUCUAAAUCCUCAUCAAACAUAGAUUAUCAGUUCAUUAUACAGAGUUCAGAGGCAGGAGACUCUGCUGCCUAUUAUUGUGCUACAUGGGACAACUCUGCUCAGGAGUACGUAUCACAGUGAUUCACACUGUGACAAAAACCUCAGACAGAGACUCACUACAGAUUUUAUGAAUUCUGAGCAAAAUCAAUGAAUUCAGGAAACUUGGAACAACACAAUGAAAGAGCCCAAAAGCACAAGAGUGUUUGAAACACUACCAGCUGUGUUUAAUAAUAUAAUCCAGCUGAUGUAGUGAAUGAGAUGUUGACAGUGAAAGUUGGUCUCAACAGCAUGUUUCAGUUCCACUCCCCUCAUUAGUGAGAGUCAGGAGGUUUUUGUACGGCCAUGUAUACAAACUGAAUCACUGUGGUAUUCGGACAAGGAACCAAGCUGAUUGUGACAAGUAAGUGCUUUUUCUUUACCAGAAAAAACAGGAAACCAAUAUUUUUCUAGCAAAUAUUACAAGUAUUACACUUAGUCUGUAUUAUGUAAAUAUUUUUAUUUUUAUUUUUAUUGUAUGUUCGACUUUUCAUGCAGUUGUUACAUCAGCAUUGAAACAACAGCAAACAGACAGUUGACUGUUCACAC